GAUGAACGCUGGCGGCGUGCCUAAUACAUGCAAGUCGAGCGAACGGAUGAGAAGCUUGCUUCUCUGAUGUUAGCGGCGGACGGGUGAGUAACACGUGGAUAACCUACCUAAAAGACUGGGAUAACUUCGGGAAACCGGAGCUAAUACCGGAUAAUAUUUUGAACCGCAUGGUUCAAAAGUGAAAGACGGUCUUGCUGUCACUUAUAGAUGGAUCCGCGCUGCAUUAGCUAGUUGGUAAGGUAACGGCUUACCAAGGCAACGAUGCAUAGCCGACCUGAGAGGGUGAUCGGCCACACUGGAACUGAGACACGGUCCAGACUCCUACGGGAGGCAGCAGUAGGGAAUCUUCCGCAAUGGGCGAAAGCCUGACGGAGCAACGCCGCGUGAGUGAUGAAGGUCUUCGGAUCGUAAAACUCUGUUAUUAGGGAAGAACAUAUGUGUAAGUAACUGUGCACAUCUUGACGGUACCUAAUCAGAAAGCCACGGCUAACUACGUG
rnacentral:rRNA from 1 species